GCUUACGGCCAUACCAAUCUGGCUAUGCCCGAUCUCGUCUGAUCUCGGAAGCUAAGCAGGUUUGGGCCUGGUUAGUACUUGGAUGGGAGACCGCCUGGGAAUACCAGGUGCUGUAAGCU
ensembl:rRNA 5S_rRNA 5S ribosomal RNA